rnacentral:rRNA from 1 species
UACGGAGGGGGCAAGCGUUGUUCGGAAUUACUGGGCGUAAAGGGCGCGCAGGCGGCUGCUCAAGUCAGGCGUGAAAGGCCUGGGCUCAACCCGGGAAUUGCGUUUGAGACUGGGCUGGCUUGAGUGCGGGAGAGGAUGGUGGAAUUCCCAGUGUAGAGGUGAAAUUCGUAGAUAUUGGGAAGAACACCGGUGGCGAAGGCGGCCAUCUGGACCGCAACUGACGCUGAGGCGCGAAAGCGUGGGGAGCAAACAGGG